rnacentral:rRNA from 1 species
CAGUAGCCGCGGGAAUACAGAGGGUGCGAGCGUUAAUCGGAUUUACUGGGCGUAAAGCGUGCGUAGGCGGCUUUUUAAGUCGGAUGUGAAAUCCCUGAGCUUAACUUAGGAAUUGCAUUCGAUACUGGGAAGCUAGAGUAUGGGAGAGGAUGGUAGAAUUCCAGGUGUAGCGGUGAAAUGCGUAGAGAUCUGGAGGAAUACCGAUGGCGAAGGCAGCCAUCUGGCCUAAUACUGACGCUGAGGUACGAAAGCAUGGGGAGCAAACAGGAUUAGAUACCCCAGUAGUCCAUGUCUCUUAUAC